rnacentral:tRNA from 1 species
AAUCAGUGGCCGAGUGGAUAACGCGAUAGCGUUUGAACCGAAAAGUACUGGGUUCGAGUCCCAGAUUGAACA